rnacentral:rRNA from 1 species
UACGUAGGGCGCAAGCGUUGUCCGGAAUUAUUGGGCGUAAAGAGCUCGUAGGCGGUUUGUCGCGUCUGCUGUGAAAACCUAAGGCUCAACCCCGGGCCUGCAGUCGAUACGGGCAGGCUAGAGUCCGGCAGGGGAGACUGGAAUUCCUGGUGUAGCGGUGAAAUGCGCAGAUAUCGGGAGGAACACCGGUGGCGAAGGCGGUUCUCUGGGCCUGUACUGACGCUGAGGAGCGAAAGCGUGGGGAGCGAACAGG